rnacentral:rRNA from 1 species
AGAGUUUGAUCAUGGCUCAGAACGAACGCUGGCGGCAGGCUUAACACAUGCAAGUCGAACGCACCUUCGGGUGAGUGGCAGACGGGUGAGUAACGCGUGGGAACGUGCCCUUCAGUUCGGAAUAACCCAGGGAAACUUGGGCUAAUACCGGAUACGUGCGAGAGCAGAAAGAUUUAUCGCUGAAGGAUCGGCCCGCGUCUGAUUAGCUAGUUGGUGGGGUAAUGGCCCACCAAGGCGACGAUCAGUAGCUGGUCUGAGAGGAUGAUCAGCCACAUUGGGACUGAGACACGGCCCAAACUCCUACGGGAGGCAGCAGUGGGGAAUAUUGGACAAUGGGCGCAAGCCUGAUCCAGCCAUGCCGCGUGAGUGAUGAAGGCCUUAGGGUUGUAAAGCUCUUUCGGCGGGGACGAUAAUGACGGUACCCGCAGAAGAAGCCCCGGCUAACUUCGUGCCAGCAGCCGCGGUAAUACGAAGGGGGCUAGCGUUGUUCGGAAUCACUGGGCGUAAAGGGCGCGUAGGCGGCUUGAUAAGUCGGGGGUGAAAGCCUGUGGCUCAACCACAGAAUUGCCUUCGAUACUGCCUGGCUUGAGACCGGAAGAGGUAAGUGGAACUGCGAGUGUAGAGGUGAAAUUCGUAGAUAUUCGCAAGAACACCAGUGGCGAAGGCGGCUUACUGGUCCGGUUCUGACGCUGAGGCGCGAAAGCGUGGGGAGCAAACAGGAUUAGAUACCCUAGUAGUCC